rnacentral:rRNA from 1 species
AUUGAACGCUGGCGGCAGGCCUAACACAUGCAAGUCGAACGAGUGGCGGACGGGUGAGUAAUGUCUGGGAAACUGCCUGAUGGAGGGGGUUAACUACUGGAAACGGUAGCUAAUACCGCAUACCAUCGGAUGUGCCCAGAGGGGCUUAGCUAGUGGGUGGGGUAAAGGUUCACCUAGGCGACGAUCCCUAGCUGGUCUGAGAGGAUGACCAGCCACACUGGAACUGAGACACGGUCCAGACUCCUACGGGAGGCAGCAGUGGGGAAUAUUGCACAAUGGGCGCAAGCCUGAUACAGCCAUUCCGCGGGUAUGAAGAAGGCCUUCGGGUUGUAAAGUACUUUCAGCGGGGAGGCGUUACCCGGAGAAGAAGCACCGGCUAACUCCGUGCCAGCAGCCGCGGUAAUAC